rnacentral:rRNA from 1 species
UACGUAGGUGGCAAGCAUUGUCCGGAUUUACUGGGCGUAAAGAGCGCGCAGGCGGUCGUUCAAGUCGCGUGUGAAAGCCCCCGGCUCAACUGGGGAGGGUCACGCGAUACUGAUCGACUCGAAGGCAGGAGAGGGUAGUGGAAUUCCCGGUGUAGUGGUGAAAUGCGUAGAUAUCGGGAGGAACACCAGUGGCGAAGGCGGCUCACUGGCCCGGUACUGACGCUGAGGUGCGAAAGCGUGGGGAGCAAACAGG